AACAGGAUGCUAAUCGUCGAUGAAGCUUCUCAUGUGGAAAGACUGGUGAACUAUUUCCUCAUGUCAAUCACGAUUAGGAUUGUGGACAAUUAUGGAGAACCCAGAAUGAAUUGCCUAGACCUACGUGGCUUCUUAUGGACUAUUAGAUUCACUUGAAGAAGACUGUCAGAAGCAAUUCCUCACCUCUAAGCAACCUUUACAAGCACGAGAGAGAAUUCUUCAUCAUCUCCUCUCUUGUGAAGAGACUGCACAGGGUAGAUAUGAUCAGCAGUAGUAGCCAUUCAAAUAUUCCUAGGAUUAGGCAAAAUAUCAGAUGUAAGCCUGGUAAGAACACUGCAUCCCACUGUCUUGAAGUGGACAGGAAUCACACCAUUUCUUGGAGAUACAUUGCCCAUGUGAAGCAAUCAUUUUAUUCUCUGCUGUUCUUUUCUGAUGCAUAAAGACAGUUUCAGAAGAUCCUUAAACAAAUCAUGCUUUGGCUUUUGUUUCUCAUUAGUGUUCCUCAUUAGCUCUUGACUUCCGGUUUUCUAGGAAUCUUUAAAAACCUGAGAACUGGCAUAAGAAAGUAGCACCAAGAUACCAUGGCAAUGGUCAAAACAACAGAACUGCUGAACUGCAACUCUCCCCAACCUUAAUUAGAUGGGACGUGGAAAAAGACUGGAAUCCCCUGUUGUCACAGUUGUUUACAUUAGUAGUCCAGGAACUAACUGCCUUCACUAGGAUGAAUCUUAUUUGUGUAUUUCCACAUACCCCACUAGUGCAAUAGACACGGCUGCAUUUAAAUUUUCUGGCUUUCAGGUGUUUAAAAACACGUGAAACAUUCAACUGAGAUACAAGGAGCAUCAGAGACCUUCCUAUAUGUAACAGGAUUUCAGUUUCACAGAAAAUACUCCCAAGGUAUAACGGCAUUCUUGUUUCUAAGCUAUGAUUCCUCUUUGAAACCAGUUUUGUAAUUGUUUCACAGCCUAAAGCAACAGUCCUUGAUCCUUGCAACUCCUGAAGAAUAAUCAUUCUUUUUUUCUGAUUUUCAUUGCUGUAGGAUACAUAAAAAUGUGCAGAAAUUAUCAAUGAAAACUAGAAUCCUCUUCUGAGAAUUCUUGUCUUAAACUGUUGCAGAGGUUGGAUGUUAGGAAGCUGUUAGAAAAAUGUUAGGAAGAUUUUUUUCACUAUGUGGGUGGUUAAGCAUUGGAAUAAGUUACCAAGAGAGGUGGUGUAAACUCCAUCCCAGGAAGUUUCUAAGAACAGGUUAAACACUUGCCUGGGAUAGUCUAGACAAGGAUGAUAUCUAGCCUUGAUCAGUGUGUUGGAUUAGACAACCUAAUGAGGUCUCUUCCAGUCCUACUUUUCUAUGAUUCUAUUAUUUGAAGGAAAAAUUACAUUUUACUCAUUUUUAAAUGACAACUUGUAUUACUGUAGGGCUUAAGCCCCUUCCAUUUUGGGGGUACAUGCUGUACAAACAGAAAAAAAAUGUGGUCCCUGUUCAGAAGAGCUCACCAUCUAACUACAAGGUUCUAUAGAAAGUGUCCAGUCCUGGGUUCUGUUACUGGUAACCAGCUUCAGAUUUGAUUUUCAUCCACUUUUUGGAAAGUCUCUGCUGUUUUUCUUUAUCUAACAUUAUAAAUAAAACAGAUGCGUGUUAAACCAAAA